UACGUAGGGCGCAAGCGUUGUCCGGAAUUAUUGGGCGUAAAGAGCUCGUAGGCGGUUUGUCGCGUCUGCUGUGAAAACCUAAGGCUCAACCUUGGGCUUGCAGUGGGUACGGGCAGACUAGAGUGCGGUAGGGGUGACUGGAAUUCCUGGUGUAGCGGUGGAAUGCGCAGAGAUCGGGAGGAACACCGGUGGCGAAGGCGGGUCUCUGGGCAAUUCCUGACGCUGAGGCGCGAAAGCGUGGGGAGCAAACGGG
rnacentral:rRNA from 1 species